rnacentral:rRNA from 1 species
UACGUAGGGUGCACGCGUUGUCCGGAAUUAUUGGGCGUAAAGAGCGUGUAGGCGGCCCGAUUAGUCCGCUGUGAAAGUCCAGGGCUCAACCCUGGAAUGCCGGUGGAUACUGUCGGGCUAGAGUCCGGAAGGGGCGAGUGGAAUUCCUGGUGUAGCGGUGAAAUGCGCAGAUAUCAGGAGGAACACCAAUGGCGAAGGCAGCUCGCUGGGACGGUACUGACGCUGAGACGCGAAAGCGUGGGGAGCAAACAGG